GUCAUGUAGCUCAGCUGGUUACAGUGAGGUGCUGACAACGCCAAGGUUGCAGGUUCGAUCCCCAUAUGGGACA